AACACAGUUCAAAUCCACAGCCCUUCACAACAUCACUUCUUAAAGAACAUCUUGAACCGACCCUACCUUCAGAUGAUGUUCUUAACCAGAUUAAAUUGAUCCUGGUUCCUAUGCUACGCCGAAGCCACUGGACCCUUUAUGCAAUCAAUUUUGAACGUCGUCGAAUAGACAUCUUAGAUUCAAACCCUUAUGGUACAUUGCUUGGAGGCACUACAUGGAAACAAAUCCAUAAUGAUCAAAUGAUGAUAAAUGGAACGAAGAUACCUUGGUCCAGACUAAUAAUGAGAAGACUUAGCAUUGCCUUACAUGAAGCUCGACCUGAGUCAACUGUACCAAAGUUUGGCAACUACAAGAUUGGGCUUCUUCCCAAUUGUCCAACCAUGACACCAGGGUCAAAUGAUUGUGGUUUUUUUGUCGCAAACUUCCUCCGCUACUACGAUUUUGAUGAUGGCGACUUAUCAGAAUUUUAUACUCCGGAUGAACCAUUGGACCAACGUGCCUUUGUUCUGCAUUACCUUACCUUUCAUCGCAACAACAUGGUUGCCCCCCUUCCUGCAGAACUGCUGCCUUUCAAGUAUUCUCCAAGGAGACGCCGUUGUUUGAAAGCCAAGACUUAGAUAGCAUAGCUGAACAUGAUUCCCUGUGCGAUGCACAAAACUGUUUAUGUUACUUGUUAAGUCACUUAUGUCAGGCCUCUGAUAAUGUGUUUGAUA